CUAAAAUACAUUUCUCCCUGCUUGGUUCUAGUUAAAAGAAAAUCUGCUUCUUCUUUGAUUUGGCGUUCAGAUUUGCUUCUGGUGUAUUAGUCUCCCAUCUCCCUUUCAAGUAUUUGCUUCUGGGGUUGAUAUUUUCAACAUUUUUAUUUGAUUCUUGGCGUAAAAUGUUUCCACCACAUUGAUAACGAUCCUUUCCCCCUGGUUAUAGAGAAAGUUCCAAACCUGAGGGGGUGGGUAAGGCGCCAAAUUCCCAAUUCCCGUCGGUGGGUUCCCUUAAAGAUGGAUAAAGGAAAGAAAUGCAGAAGAGAAGACGAAGAGAUCGAGGCCGUUGACAGCGACGCUAAUCAUUCUCAUUCUCUCGCGCAGAGCAAAAUCUUAGCUUUAGCGACACUUUGCUGGUGCUUCGUAUGAUGCGAGUUCAGUUUCCUCAGAUUGAUAAGGUGUCGAUUCAACCUUUUAUUUUACAGUCACAAUUGUAUAGCAGUGUAAAGGACAGAACACAAGUGGAUAGGGAGCUAGAGUCUCUAAGAAGGGAUAAAGUAGUGCGCAUUUUCAAACUAAAUACGGGGCAAGAUGAUCAUGGUAUAAUGUUUUUAGAUGAUUAUCUAAAACAGGUUGGUUAUUGAUGUCUGUAAAUUCAUAAAUGAUGAGAUGUUUAGUUUGCAACUUUAGUUUCCAUUAGUUCAAAGUGAGUUACUGUUACUGCAUGCCUAUCCAAUGAUUUUCACAGAAGGAAAUGAUCGAAGAAUGCCGAUUUUCACAGAAAUCAUGAAAAUUGAAGGCUUGUCUAAUGAUGAAAUGCUUAUUGCAGGAGAGUAUAUUAGCAAAGAUGCACACAAGUUAGAUUUCUUCUUUUCUUUGCCAAAAGAAUUCAAAAAAGAUUAUGUGAUUAAGCAAUUAGUUGAAUGCCAUCACUUUAGACCAUCCUUUUGACUGUGGUCCUUCUACAAUUAUGCCGAUCUCUUUUUUAUUAUGACUUUAGAUUAUGGUCCCAACUUUUUUGUGUAGCUUAGCCAGGUAUAUGUCAAGCAACCCAAUAAUUCAAGUUUAGAAUGUCAUGGCUAUUAUCUUUGUAUGUUCAAA